rnacentral:lncRNA from 1 species
GCAGAUCAUAUUUCCAAAAAAGCUUUAAAGUUUUUUUCAAAACCCUUAUAGCCUCUCCUCCCUUUUCAGUCAAUUGGGCUUUGCCGGCGCCUAAUAUGCCUCCAUCUCCGUCGAGGCUUUAACCUGAUCCCCAGGGAUCUGUCUGCCUUUGGAUCGGAGGAGCAAAUGUCGACUAGGUCGACACCAAAUCAACAGGUGAGAGAGCUUUCUUCUCUCUCUCUUUUUUUUUAUAUUAGUAUAAUAGAUCAAAAAAAGAGAGUAAGAAAUGAAGGAGAAAAAUAAGAGAGAAAAAAAAGUGAAUGAACCACUUUCCAGUAUUUGCUUUUUCUAUUUGAUUGCUUUGUAUGCGUAAAAAAAUACAUUGAUUAUUACAUGGUUUUUAUAGCCGAAAACAGAAAAAUAUUGAAAAGAAAAUACAAAUUCGUUUUCUUUUUUCUCUUUGCUGUGUUGUUUUUGCAUUUGCUUGCAGGUGCUUGGCCAGCUGUGGUGUACGGAAGAGGUGAUAUGGCGUGCGAUGACAGGGAGGGUACAGGGCCAGGCUAUGGGCACACGAAGGCCGUACGGAGGUGGCGCUAGGGGCUGCAGCGCGCCUAAAGAAACCUUAGGGUUUCUUAGUUUUUAACUUUCGGGCCAGUUGGGCCAUGUAUUUGUUGGGCUAGGUUUUAGAUUUUGGGUUUAGUUGGGUAUUAUGUAGUUGGCCUCGGGUUAUGAUUUUGGGCUUUGUAAAUUGAACAGUGGACAUUUUAUUUUUGUUUAUCUUAUGGUUUUGGGCUCGGGCUAAGUGGCCCC